GACCGGAUAGCUCAGUUGGUAGAGCAUCGGCCUUUUAAGCCGCGGGUCCUGGGUUCGAGUCCCAGUCCGGUCA
rnacentral:tRNA from 1 species